GAUGAACGCUGGCGGCGUGCCUAAUACAUGCAAGUCGAGCGAACGGACGAGAAGCUUGCUUUUCUGAUGUUAGCGGCGGACGGGUGAGUAACACGUGGAUAACCUACCUAUAAGACUGGGAUAACUUCGGGAAACCGGAGCUAAUACCGGAUAAUAUUUUGAACCGCAUGGUUCAAAAGUGAAAGACGGUCUUGCUGUCACUUAUAGAUGGAUCCGCGCUGCAUUAGCUAGUUGGUAAGGUAACGGCUUACCAAGGCAACGAUGCAUAGCCGACCUGAGAGGGGGAUCGGCCCCCCUGGAACUUGGGCACGGUCCAGACUCCUACGGGGAGCCGCAAGAGGGAAUCUUCCGCAAUGGGCCAAAGCCUUACGGGGCAACGCCGCGUGAGUGAUGAAGGGCUUCGGAUCGUAAAACUCUUUUAUUAGGGAAGAACAUAUGUGUAAGUAACUGUUCACAUCUUGGCGGUACCUAAUCAAGAAGCCCCGGCUAACUACGUG
rnacentral:rRNA from 1 species